rnacentral:tRNA from 1 species
AAUUAAGAAACAAAUAAAUUGUAUUCAAGUUCGGUUUGAAAAUUAGAUUAAUAUAAUCCUUAAUUG